rnacentral:rRNA from 1 species
UACCAGCACCCCGAGCGGUCGGGACGAUUAUUGGGCCUAAAGCGUCCGUAGCCGGUCCUACAAGUCUUCCGUUAAAUCCACCUGCUUAACAGAUGGGCUGCGGAAGAUACUAUAGGGCUAGGAGGCGGGAGAGGCAAGCGGUACUCAGUGGGUAGGGGUAAAAUCCUCUGAUCCACUGAAGACCACCAGUGGCGAAGGCGGCUUGCCAGAACGCGCUCGACGGUGAGGGAUGAAAGCUGGGGGAGCAAACCGG